rnacentral:rRNA from 1 species
GACGAACGCUGGCGGCGUGCUUAACACAUGCCAGUCGAACGGAAAGGCCCUGCUUUUGUGGGGUGCUCGAGUGGCGAACGGGUGAGUAACACGUGAGUAACCUGCCCUUGACUUUGGGAUAACUUCAGGAAACUGGGGCUAAUACCGGAUAGGAGCUCCUGCUGCAUGGUGGGGGUUGGAAAGUUUCGGCGGUUGGGGAUGGACUCGCGGCUUAUCAGCUUGUUGGUGGGGUAGUGGCUUACCAAGGCUUUGACGGGUAGCCGGCCUGAGAGGGUGACCGGCCACAUUGGGACUGAGAUACGGCCCAGACUCCUACGGGAGGCAGCAGUGGGGAAUAUUGCACAAUGGGCGGAAGCCUGAUGCAGCAACGCCGCGUGCGGGAUGACGGCCUUCGGGUUGUAAACCGCUUUCGCCUAUGACGAAGCGUGAGUGACGGUAAUGGGUAAAGAAGCACCGGCUAACUACGUG